rnacentral:lncRNA from 1 species
GCCAGCCAGAACCUCAGCACACCCACGUGGGUCAGAUGCAGUACAAUCCAGUACUGCCAGGCCAACAGGCAUUUUUAAACAAGUUUCAGAAUGGAGUUUUAAAUGAAACAUAUCCAGCUGAAUUAAAUAACAUAAAUAACACUCAGACUACCACACAUCUUCAGCCACUUCAUCAUCCGUCAGAAGCCAGACCUUUUCCUGAUUUGACAUCCAGUGGAUUCCUGUAAUUCCAAGCCCAAUUUUGACCCUGGUUUUUGGAUUAAAUUAGUUUGUGAAGGAUUAUGGAAAAAUAAAACUGUCACUGUUGGACGUCAGCAAGUUCACAUGGAGGCAUUGAUGCAUGCUAUUCACAAUUAUUCCAAACCAAAUUUUAAUUUUUGCUUUUAGAAAAGGGAGUUUAAAAAUGGUAUCAAAAUUACAUAUACUACAGUCAAGAUAGAAAGGGUGCUGCCACGGAGUGGUGAGGUACCGUCUACAUUUCACAUUAUUCUGGGCACCACAAAAUAUACAAAACUUUAUCAGGGAAACUAAGAUUCUUUUAAAUUAGAAAAUAUUCUCUAUUUGAAUUAUUUCUGUCACAGUAAAAAUAAAAUACUUUGAGUUUUGAGCUACUGGAUUCUUAUUAGUUCCCCAAAUACAAAGUUAGAGAACUAAACUAGUUUUUCCUAUCAUGUUAACCUCUGCUUUUAUCUCAGAUGUUAAAAUAAAUGGUUUGGUGCUUUUUAUAAAAAGAUAAUCUCAGUGCUUUCCUCCUUCACUGUUUCAUCUAAGUGCCUCACAUUUUUUUCUACCUAUAACACUCUAGGAUGUAUAUUUUAUAUAAAGUAUUCUUUUUCUUUUUUAAAUUAAUAUCUUUCUGCACACAAAUAUUAUUUGUGUUUCCUAAAUCCAACCAUUUUCAUUAAUUCAGGCAUAUUUUAACUCCACUGCUUACCUACUUUCUUCAGGUAAAGG